rnacentral:lncRNA from 1 species
ACGCUGACAUAUGAAACCUUUCCUAACAAGACUGCCCAUGUAUACAUAUUAAGAUUUCGCGCUAGUCUGGGCUGAUGUGGGGUGUUUUUCCUUUUCUCCGUGGCUUUUAGGCGUUGUAGUAUUGCCCUUGGGCCUUCGGCUCGUAUGGGUAGUCUUACAGGUAUGGGGUCACGCACCCCCAACCAUGUAACACACACACAGAUUUAAUUGAACAUACGCCGUACAGAGAUAAAUUUCAAAACUUGGGCCAAGUUCCACAGGCCCCACAAACAAACAGUUUUAGGAUACAAUGCUCGUCAUUGCACCUUGGGGUGAAACUAUGAUGAUCCCUACU